AGCUGUAGCCUUUCCAACAGAGCUCUGCCUGUGCAUACCUGCACUGGAAUGUUAUAGCUCC
rnacentral:miRNA from 1 species